AAAUAGAAAGGAGUUGAAGGAAAUAAGUUUAAAGAUAAUCCUGAUAGUCUACCGGCGGGACGUCAGUAGGAUUUUCUCCAGUGUCUGCUUUUGACUUUUGUUUGCUUCGAGUCAAGCUUAUAGCUUGAUAGCAGGUCACUUUUGUUGGACCUUCAGAACCUGCUCUUUUAAUUGUAAUUUGUACUUUCUUUUAUGUGUAGUCAGUGCUCCAAAACUCUUGUAUUAAGACAAUUAAG